GGAUGUGAGGGUGAUCUGACUGUGGUAUCUGUCACCCCAUUGAUCACCAGCGUUGAUUUGACUGAUCUGACUGGCAAGGUGGGUGUCCCCUUUCUCCCUCACUUCUCCAUGUGCAUCCUUCCUGCAUGCUCUGUCCAAGAGGACCGCCAUCCCCGCUAGAGGAGGCCCGUUCUUCGGUCAGGGGUGUCCCGGCUGGAACUCCACACAAACUCUCAAGGAGCAAGUUAUUAAGUCUCGCCCACACCGAAGGAGACUGAUACAAAAUACUCUGAGGUGGAUAUCAUUGGGAGCCAUU
rnacentral:snRNA from 1 species